GCCAGUUAGUUCAGUUGGUUAGAGCAUGGUGCUGAUAACCCCAAGGUUGCAGGUUCAAUCCCUGUAUAGAACA